AUUGAACGCUGGCGGCAUGCCUUACACAUGCAAGUCGAACGGUACAGGUCUUCGGAUGCUGACGAGUGGCGAACGGGUGAGUAAUACAUCGGAAACGUGCCCGAUCGUGGGGGAUAACGGAGCGAAAGCUUUGCUAAUACCGCAUACGAUCUACGGAUGAAAGCAGGGGACCGCAAGGCCUUGCGCGGACGGAGCGGCCGAUGGCAGAUUAGGUAGUUGGUGGGAUAAAAGCUUACCAAGCCGACGAUCUGUAGCUGGUCUGAGAGGACGACCAGCCACACUGGGACUGAGACACGGCCCAGACUCCUACGGGAGGCAGCAGUGGGGAAUUUUGGACAAUGGGCGCAAGCCUGAUCCAGCCAUGCCGCGUGCAGGAUGAAGGCCUUCGGGUUGUAAACUGCUUUUGUACGGAACGAAAAGACUCUUUCUAAUAAAGAGGGUCCAUGACGGUACCGUAAGAAUAAGCACCGGCUAACUACGUG
rnacentral:rRNA from 1 species